rnacentral:sRNA from 1 species
AGAAGACCUCCCGUAAAUCAAGCAUGAAAGGGCGAUCGCAGGUUGCAAAAAAAGCGGAGUGACGUAUGGACACGUCACCCCGC